rnacentral:rRNA from 1 species
ACGCUGGCGGCAGGCCUAACACAUGCAAGUCGAGCGGUAGAGAGAAGCUUGCUUCUCUUGAGAGCGGCGGACGGGUGAGUAAUGCCUAGGAAUCUGCCUGGUAGUGGGGGAUAACGUCCGGAAACGGACGCUAAUACCGCAUACGUCCUACGGGAGAAAGCAGGGGACCUUCGGGCCUUGCGCUAUCAGAUGAGCCUAGGUCGGAUUAGCUAGUUGGUGGGGUAAUGGCUCACCAAGGCGACGAUCCGUAACUGGUCUGAGAGGAUGAUCAGUCACACUGGAACUGAGACACGGUCCAGACUCCUACGGGAGGCAGCAGUGGGGAAUAUUGGACAAUGGGCGAAAGCCUGAUCCAGCCAUGCCGCGUGUGUGAAGAAGGUCUUCGGAUUGUAAAGCACUUUAAGUUGGGAGGAAGGGCAGUAAAUUAAUACUUUGCUGUUUUGACGUUACCGACAGAAUAAGCACCGGCUAACUCUGUGCCAGCAGCCGCGGUAAUACAGAGGGUGCAAGCGUUAAUCGGAAUUACUGGGCGUAAAGCGCGCGUAGGUGGUUCGUUAAGUUGGAUGUGAAAUCCCCGGGCUCAACCUGGGAACUGCAUUCAAAACUGACGAGCUAGAGUAUGGUAGAGGGUGGUGGAAUUUCCUGUGUAGCGGUGAAAUGCGUAGAUAUAGGAAGGAACACCAGUGGCGAAGGCGACCACCUGGACUGAUACUGACACUGAGGUGCGAAAGCGUGGGGAGCAACC